UGAGCGAUCUGGGAGGCUCGCAACUCUAGGACCCCAGGUGCGCGCGAAGAGGUGGGGCCACUAGGCGAGGUCACCAGCGUCGGGCGGAACGUGUCCUCCUGUCCGCCUCCAGCAGCGUCUGUGUCAAUCUAGAUCCUGGCUUCUGGGUUCCUGACCUCGCCUGGCCACAGCACCGUCAGUGCAACUUUGCGAUUGUCUCUUGGCCUGCUGUGGGAAGGCUCCCACUUGUAAAAUCGGACCAAUAGCCUACCCUAGUUUUGCCUCCCUGAGGGCAUCAGCGCGGGUGGUGCUUCCCGCCUGGAGGCUCUGGGGAAAAGCAUACAUGUUUUGAUCACACCUUUUACCGAGGGAGCCUUUAGGUCCCCAGGGCUUUCUCCUGUAACCUGCUUAUCAGCCCUAAGGAACCUGCUUAUCAGCCCUAAGGGGGGAAGUUCAAGGGUCCGGAUAUUCUCAUCUAGCCAGGAAAAGCACUGCAUUGUCUCCGUCCUCAAAAAGCUCAUCAUCAAAAUAAGGAGAGGAAAUAAUGCAACCACAUAAAUACAAGCAAAAGGCUAAACUACAUAGAAAUUAAAAACAGCAAUAAGAAUUUACAGAACUUCCCUGAAAGCUUUGGCUUUCAGCCACAGGCCACCUGAAGAUACAGAUACUGGACAAUGGCCAGUGAUAUAUCUUCCCAGAGACCUUGGAUGGCUGAUGGUUCCAGGAGGGCAGAGAGACUUCCUCUGUCAUCAUUUCAGCCAAGGAAAGAAAUCAGUGGCAGUCUGAGACUCACAGGUCCAGACAGAUGGGCUACGUAUCGUUUCUAUUAACUGAGGAGACAGAGAAGAAUUGAGGACUGAAGCAUGUCAUCACUGUCCUGAAUGUACUGAAAUCCUAACAGCUUUAGCUGAAAAAAUGUCCAAAGCAGGCAGUGAAAAUAAAUUUAAAAUAGGACAAACUCUAAACUGUCUGUGCUAGAAUCCCAAGGCAGGCAGGGAAAACUGGCUCCUUGGAGGAAGGCAGUCAAAGAAUUAAGUAGAGUGACCUAGACCCUGUUCCAGUAUGUUUGAAGUACUUGGGGAUGGAGUAACCCCUUUCCUUUAUUCAUCUACAUAGGUCCAUGAGCCACGAGGACAUAACUCCCCAUGUGAAGGUCCUCAAUACAAGACAUCUAACUUCAUGACGUCAAUCCUUUCUCGGAGGCGGGGGAGGGCGAAGGUUAAAGAAUCUGAAAUGGUGGGCCUAUAUUCGAGUCCAAGUUCUGAGAACAGCUUUGAAGAAGAGUUCCUGACAGUGAGGAGGAGCGGAAGCAGCAAGGGCCCUUGGAAUCAGGCUAGGUUUGAAUUCUGGCUGUCACUUCCUGGUAAAGUGACUUGAGUGACAGCUCGGAGUCUCAGUAUCAUUUACCUCAUGAGGCCAUCCAAGGAUUAAAUGAAAAGAGCCUGUGCGAAGCAGCUCGCAUAAGGCGGGGCACAGAGUCGGUGCUUAGUGCUAAUGAUGUCUGUCCUGGGCAGUGAGCAGAAAGCCUGGUGCUGCCCAGAGGUGGCAUGGCCAGUAGCUCCAGAAAUGUGGUACUGUCAUAGGGAAAAGGAGUUCUUUGCUCCACAGGUCCUAUUCCAGCUAGAGACCAACUCCAAGCGACAACUCACAAAACGACAAAUAGUCAUCAUUCAGCACUUAGUCCAAGGGAAUGUGGAGCUGCGUGACUCGCAGAGCUCCUAAGUGGUCCUGCCACCUCUUCACGGUGAGCCUAGGCAAAUUGCCCAACAUCUCUGAGUUCCAAUUUCCUCUUCCCCAAAGCGGGGAUAACAAUACCUACAUUGCAAGAGCUGUUGGAAAACUG